rnacentral:rRNA from 1 species
AGAACGAACGCUGGCGGCAUGCCUAAUACAUGCAAGUCGAACGAACUCUUCGGAGUUAGUGGCGCACGGGUGCGUAACGCGUGGGAAUCUGCCCCUUGGUUCGGAAUAACAGUUGGAAACGACUGCUAAUACCGGAUGAUGACGAAAGUCCAAAGAUUUAUCGCCAAGGGAUGAGCCCGCGUAGGAUUAGCUAGUUGGUGAGGUAAAGGCUCACCAAGGCAACGAUCCUUAGCUGGUCUGAGAGGAUGAUCAGCCACACUGGGACUGAGACACGGCCCAGACUCCUACGGGAGCAGCAGUAGGGAAUAUGGACAAUGGGCGAAAGCCUGAUCCAGCAAUGCCGCGUGAGUGAUGAAGGCCUUAGGUUGUAAAGCUUACUUUACCGAGAUGAUAAUGACAGUAUACGGGAGAAUAACGCCCCGGACUAACGUCCGUAGCCCAGCAGGCCCGAGGUAACUCGUAGGACGGCGGGCCGUGGACCGAACGGCGACGAAGUACG